rnacentral:rRNA from 1 species
AAAAAAGGUAAGCUACUAAGAGCGAAUGGUGGAUGCCUUGACUGGUAAAGGCGAUGAAGGACGUACUAGACUGCGAUAAGCUACGGGGAGCUGUCAAGAAGCUUUGAUCCGUAGAUUUCCGAAUGGGGCAACCCAAUGUAUAGAGAUAUACAUUACCUAUAUAGGAGCGAACGAGGGGAAUUGAAACAUCUUAGUACCCUCAGGAAAAGAAAUCAAUAGAGAUUGCGUCAGUAGCGGCGAGCGAAAGCGCAAGAGGGCAAACCCAGUGCUUGCACUGGGGGUUGUAGGACUGCAAUGUGCAAGAGGUGAGUUUAGCAGAACAUUCUGGAAAGUAUAGCCAUAGAGGGUGAUAGUCCCGUAUGCGAAAAACAAACCUUAGCUAGCAGUAUCCUGAGUAGGGCGGGACACGAGAAAUCCUGUCUGAAGCUGGGUCGACCACGAUCCAACCCUAAAUACUAAUACCAGAUCGAUAGUGCACAAGUACCGUGAGGGAAAGGUGAAAAGAACUGAGGUGAUCAGAGUGAAAUAGAACCUGAAACCAUUUGCUUACAAUCAUUCAGAGCCCUAUGUAGCAAUACAGGGUGAUGGACUGCCUUUUGCAUAAUGAGCCUGCGAGUUGUGGUGUCUGGCAAGGUUAAGCAAACGCGAAGCCGUAGCGAAAGCGAGUCUGAAUAGGGCGCUUAGUCAGAUGCUGCAGACCCGAAACGAAGUGAUCUAUCCAUGAGCAAGUUGAAGCUAGUGUAAGAACUAGUGGAGGACUGAACCCAUAGGCGUUGAAAAGCCCCGGGAUGACUUGUGGAUAGGGGUGAAAGGCCAAUCAAACUUCGUGAUAGCUGGUUCUCUCCGAAAUAUAUUUAGGUAUAGCGUUGUGUCGUAAUAUAAGGGGGUAGAGCACUGAAUGGGCUAGGGCAUACACCAAUGUACCAAACCCUAUCAAACUCCGAAUACCUUAUAUGUAAUCACAGCAGUCAGGCGGCGAGUGAUAAAAUCCGUCGUCAAGAGGGAAACAACCCAGACUACCAGCUAAGGUCCCUAAAUCUUACUUAAGUGGAAAACGAUGUGAAGUUACUUAAACAACCAGGAGGUUGGCUUAGAAGCAGCCAUCCUUUAAAGAAAGCGUAAUAGCUCACUGGUCUAGUGAUUUUGCGCGGAAAAUAUAACGGGGCUAAAGUAAGUACCGAAGCUGUAGACUUGCGCACAACUUAGAUUAUUUAAGUUUAGAAUAUGAGAAACUAAGUUAUAUGUUUAGUUAUAUUUUUACUGAUUUUUAUAGAGUAAAGAUAGAAAUAAAACUUAGUAAAAUCAGUAAAAAUAUUCUUAGAUUAAAGUUAAGUAGUUUAAGUUGUGUGCAAGUGGUAGGAGAGCGUUCUAUUUGCGUCGAAGGUAUACCGGUAAGGAGUGCUGGAGCGAAUAGAAGUGAGCAUGCAGGCAUGAGUAGCGAUAAUUAAUGUGAGAAUCAUUAACGCCGUAAACCCAAGGUUUCCUACGCGAUGCUCGUCAUCGUAGGGUUAGUCGGGUCCUAAGUCGAGUCCGAAAGGGGUAGACGAUGGCAAAUUGGUUAAUAUUCCAAUACCAACAUUAGUGUGCGAUGGAAGGACGCUUAGGGCUAAGGGGGCUAGCGGAUGGAAGUGCUAGUCUAAGGUCGUAGGAGGUUAUACAGGCAAAUCCGUAUAACAAUACUCCGAGAACUGAAAGGCUUUUUGAAGUCUUCGGAUGGAUAGAAGAACCCCUGAUGCCGUCGAGCCAAGAAAAGUUUCUAAGUUUAGCUAAUGUUGCCCGUACCGUAAACCGACACAGGUGGGUGGGAUGAGUAUUCUAAGGCGCGUGGAAGAACUCUCUUUAAGGAACUCUGCAAAAUAGCACCGUAUCUUCGGUAUAAGGUGUGGUUCGCUUCGUAUUAGGAUUUACUCCGAAAGCGAAGAAACUUACAACAAAGAGUCCCUCCCGACUGUUUACCAAAAACACAGCACUCUGCUAACUCGUAAGAGGAUGUAUAGGGUGUGACGCCUGCCCGGUGCUCGAAGGUUAAUUGAUGGGGUUAGCAUUAGCGAAGCUCUUGAUCGAAGCCCGAGUAAACGGCGGCCGUAACUAUAACGGUCCUAAGGUAGCGAAAUUCCUUGUCGGUUAAAUACCGACCUGCAUGAAUGGCGUAACGAGAUGGGAGCUGUCUCAAAGAGGGAUCCAGUGAAAUUGUAGUGGAGGUGAAAAUUCC